AACGCACAUUGCGCCUCUCUUUAACCGGGAGGCAUGCCUGUCUGAGCGUCAUUUAAACCAAUGAACAUAGUUCGUGUUGAGUUUCGCCUUUUGGGCGUUACUUUAAAGUAAUUGGUCUAGAUUAGCGGGCGAGAUCCUUUCGGGCUAACCGCAAGUCAAUCCAAAUAAUAUCUCUGAUUUGACCUCAGAUCAGGUAGGGACACCGCCUGAACUUAA
rnacentral:misc_RNA from 1 species